rnacentral:rRNA from 1 species
UCGAGACUUUCAGAGAUGGAUUGGUGCCUUCGGGAACUCUGACACAGGUGCUGCAUGGCUGUCGUCAGCUCGUGUCGUGAAAUGUUGGGUUAAGUCCCGCAACGAGCGCAACCCUUGUCCUUAGUUGCCAGCGCGUCAUGGGGGGCCCUCUAAGGAAACUGCCGGUGACAAAUCGAAGAAAGGUGGGAAUAACUUCAAUUCAUCAUGGCCCUUACAGCCUGGGCUACACACUUGCUACAAGGGUCGGUACAGAGGGUUGCCAAUCCGCGAGGUGGAGCUAAUCUCACAAAACCGAUCGUAGUCCGGAUCGCAUUCUGCAACUCGACUGCGUGAAGUCGAAAAUCGCUAGUAAUCGCAAAUCAAAAAUGUCGCGGUGAAUACUUCCCCCGGGUCUGGCACACACCGA